UCUUUGGUGAGGAGUGAUGUAAAGAAGAUAUUGUGGUUGCCAGUCAUGCACAAGGUGCAGUUUCAAUCAUUAUUAGCCUUUAAGCAGUGGUGGGCGCAAUGGAAGACAACAUAGUUUGUUGAGUAGACUCCACUGCCAGGGGCGGAUUCGGUGCUCGCUUGCAUUUGGAUCCUUCGAUUUCCUGUCGGUUUCAACUUUGGAUCUCCAUGAUUGAAGCAAUUUUAACUCGCCUUAUCAUUAUCAAAUGAUGGAGAUGCUGGGCAGGUGGAGGGAGGAGAGCCAGUAUCUCAAACCACACUUCUCAACCCUUAAUCAAUAGAUAAGAAACGACCGAGUACAGGUACCGAGUCAACUUUAAUAUUACAACUCGGCUUCAUUGGAAAGAUUCUCCAUAGAAAGAAAGAUUUCUAACC